rnacentral:lncRNA from 1 species
AGGACGGUGUUAGAAGAGAGAGUUCUGAAGCAUCACUGAUGAAAGACUCCAUCAUCAUGAGCCAGCAUGAUGAGGACCAGCUUCUAUUAGGUCCCCGAUGCCUCUAAGUCACUUGUUCAGUUCUGGAUCUCCCAAAGAAGCUGGAUCUUCAAAGAGACAACUUAGCAUCAUUAGCAAACUGUCAGGUUACUGAAUGUUGAACUGAUCAUUGCUCUCAUGAUUCAUUUUCUGGGACAGCGUCUGCCAAGUCAGAGAACUCCUAGGACCUUGAAUCCUCUUGAAGUUCACAAGAUCAUCAUCAGAUCUGGUCAUUUCCACCAGGGGAUACUUGUUUAUCAGAUAAAAAAAUGCAAAAGCAACCAGGAUCUUCACUUGCCCCAGUCUUCUCUCUUCCCCACCUAGUUGAGAACAUGCUUUACAUGGAGAACAGUAGCAAGAUUGCUACAAUAAAUAUGUGUGUAGCAAAUGACUAUCUUUCUCC